rnacentral:tRNA from 2 species
GCGGAAUUGGUAGACGCACCAGAUUUAGGUUCUGGCGCCGCAAGGUGUGAGAGUUCAAGUCUCUCCUUCCGCACCA